GCGGGAAUAGCUUAGUUGGUAGAGCACGACCUUGCCAAGGUCGGGGUCGCGAGUUCGAGUCUCGUUUCCCGCUCCA
rnacentral:tRNA from 3 species